ACUCCUACGGGAGGCAGCAGUGGGGAAUAUUGCACAAUGGGCGCAAGCCUGAUGCAGCCAUGCCGCGUGUGUGAAGAAGGCCUUCGGGUUGUAAAGACUUUCAGUCGUGAGGAAGGGUAGUGUAGUUAAUAGCUUGCUAUCAUUUUGAACGUUAGCGACAGAAGAAGCACCGGCUAACUCCGUGCCAGCAGCCGCGGUAAUACGGAGGGUGCGAGCGUUAAUCGGAAUUACUGGGCGUAAAGCGCAUGCAGGUGGCUUUGUUAAGUCAGAUGUGAAAGCCCGGGGCUCAACCUCGGAAUUGCAUUGAAC
rnacentral:rRNA from 1 species